GACGAACGCUGGCGGCGUGCUUAACACAUGCAAGUCGAACGCUGAACCCGCUUCGGUGGGGGAUGAGUGGCGAACGGGUGAGUAACACGUGGGCAACCUGCCCCCGGCUCUGGGAUAACUCCAAGAAAUUGGGGCUAAUACCGGAUGUGACCGCUGGCCGCAUGGUCUGGUGGUGGAAAGGGUUUCCGGCUGGGGAUGGGCCCGCGGCCUAUCAGCCUGUUGGUGGGGUAGUGGCCUACCAAGCCGCCGACGGGUAGCCGGCCUGAGAGGGUGACCGGCCACAAUGGGACUGAGGGACGGCGCAGACGCCAACGGGAGGCAGCGGUGGGGAAUAUUGCGCAAUGGGCGGGAGCCUGACGCGGCGACGCCGCGUGGGGGAUGACGGCCUUCGGGUUGUAAACCUCUUUCAGCAGGGACGAAGCGCAAGUGACGGUACCUGCAGAAGAAGCACCGGCCAACUACGUG
rnacentral:rRNA from 1 species